AUUGAACGCUGGCGGCAGGCCUAACACAUGCAAGUCGAGCGAGCGGCUGACGGGUGAGUAAUGUCUGGGAAACUGCCUGAUGGAGGGGGAUCACUACCGGAAACCGUAGCUCAUACCCCAUACAACCUGAUGUGCCCAGAUGGGGUUAGCUAGUAGGGGGGGUAAUGGCUCACCUAGGCGACGAUCCCUAGCUGGUCUGAGAGGAUGACCAGCCACACUGGAACUGAGACACGGUCCAGACUCCUACGGGAGGCAGCAGUGGGGAAUAUUGCACAAUGGGCGCAAGCCUGAUGCAGCCAUGCCGCGUGUAUGAAGAAGGCCUUCGGGUUGUAAAGUACUUUCAGCGGGGAGGCGUUACUCGCAGAAGAAGCACCGGCUAACUCCGUGCCAGCAGCCGCGGUAAUAC
rnacentral:rRNA from 1 species